rnacentral:ncRNA from 1 species
UAGGCGGAUUCCGAAAAGCCGAGAAAAGAGAGUAGGAU